GAUGAACGCUAGCGGCAGGCCUCAUACAUGCAAGUCGAGGGGCAGCGGGACACUCCGGUGUUGCCGGCGACCGGCGGACGGGUGCGUAAUGCGCAUGCAAUCUACUUUACACUGGGGAAUAGCCUCCGGAAACGGGAAUUAAUACCCCAUAUAAUCUUAUUAGCGCAUGUUAAAAAGAUGAAAGCUCCGGCGGUGUAAAAUGAGCGUGCGUCCUAUUAGCUAGUUGGUGAGGUAAUGGCUCACCAAGGCUACGAUGGGUAGGGGUUCUUAGUGGAAGGUCCCCCACACUGGCACUGAGAUACGGGGCAGACUCCUACGGGAGGCAGCAGUAGGGAAUAUUGGUCAAUGGGCGCAAGCCUGAACCAGCCAUGCCGCGUGCAGGAUGAAGGCUCUCUGAGUUGUAAACUGCUUUUGUACAGGAGCAAAAAAGUCCCUGCGGGGAUUCUUGAGCGUACUGUUAAGAAUAAGCACCGGCUAAUUCCGUGCCAGCAGCCGCGGUAAUACGGGAGGUGCAAGCGUUAUCCGGUUUUAUUGGGUUUAAAGGGUGCGUAGGCGGCUUAUUAAGUCAGUUGUGAAAUCCUAGUGCUUAACGCUAGAACUGCGAUUGAUACUAUUAGGCUUGAGUUAAGAAGAGGUAAGCAGAAUUUAUGGUGUAGUAGUGAAAUGCUUAGAUAUCAUAAGGAAUACCAAUAGCGUAGCAGCUUACUGGUCUUUAACUGACGCUGAGGCACGAAAGCGUGGGGAGCAAACAGGAUUAGAUACCCUGGUAGUCCACGCCGUAAACGAUGAUCACUCGAUAUACAUGAUACAUCAUGUGUGUCUAAGCGAAAGCGUUAAGUGAUCCACCUGGGGAGUAUACUCGCAAGGGUGAAACUCAAAGGAAUUGACGGGGGUCCGCACAAGCGGUGGAGUAUGUGGUUUAAUUCGAUAAUACGCGAGGAACCUUACCUGGGCUAGAAUGUGUUUUGCUACCUUGAGAAAUUGAGGGUUCCUUCGGGACGGAAUACAAGGUGCUGCAUGGCUGUCGUCAGCUCGUGCCGUGAGGUGUUGGGUUAAGUCCUAUAACGAGCGAAACCCUUUUACUUAAUCGCCAGCACGUAAUGGUGGGGACUUUAAGUAGACUGCCCGUGUAAGCGGGAGGAAGGAGAGGACGAGGUCAAGUCAUCAUGGCCUUUAUGCCCAGGGCUACACACGUACUACAAUGGCAUGUACAAAGGGAAGCUACUUGGCAACAAGAUGCAAAUCUCAAAAGCAUGUCUCAGUUCGGAUUGAGGUCUGCAAUUCGACCUCAUGAAGUUGGAAUCGCUAGUAAUCGCGUAUCAGCAAUGACGCGGUGAAUACGUUCUCGGACCUUGUACACACCGCCCAUCAAGCCAUGGGAGUUGGUAGAGCUUGAAGACAGUGGCCGUAAAAGGAGCUGUUUAGUGUUAGACCAGCGACUGGGGC
rnacentral:rRNA from 1 species